rnacentral:tRNA from 1 species
GCCCAAGUGGCGGAAUGGUAGACGCAGGGGAUUCAAAAUCCCCCGGCCUUACGGUCAUGUCGGUUCGAGUCCGACCUUGGGUA